rnacentral:rRNA from 1 species
AGAGUUUGAUCAUGGCUCAGAUUGAACGCUGGCGGCAGGCCUAACACAUGCAAGUCGAACGGUAACAGGAAGAAGCUUGCUUCUUUGCUGACGAGUGGCGGACGGGUGAGUAAUGUCUGGGAAACUGCCUGAUGGAGGGGGAUAACUACUGGAAACGGUAGCUAAUACCGCAUAACGUCGCAAGACCAAAGAGGGGGACCUUCGGGCCUCUUGCCAUCGGAUGUGCCCAGAUGGGAUUAGCUWGUWGGUGGGGUAACGGCUCACCWAGGCGACGAUCCCUAGCUGGUCUGAGAGGAUGACCAGCCACACUGGAACUGAGACACGGUCCAGACUCCUACGGGAGGCAGCAGUGGGGAAUAUUGCACAAUGGGCGCAAGCCUGAUGCAGCCAUGCCGCGUGUAUGAAGAAGGCCUUCGGGUUGUAAAGUACUUUCAGCGGGGAGGAAGGGAGUAAAGUUAAUACCUUURCUCAUUGACGUUACCCGCAGAAGAAGCACCGGCUAACUCCGUGCCAGCAGCCGCGGUAAUACGGAGGGUGCAAGCGUUAAUCGGAAUUACUGGGCGUAAAGCGCACGCAGGCGGUUUGUUAAGUCAGAUGUGAAAUCCCCGGGCUCAACCUGGGAACUGCAUCUGAUACUGGCAAGCUUGAGUCUCGUAGAGGGGGGUAGAAUUCCAGGUGUAGCGGUGAAAUGCGUAGAGAUCUGGAGGAAUACCGGUGGCGAAGGCGGCCCCCUGGACGAAGACUGACGCUCAGGUGCGAAAGCGUGGGGAGCAAACAGGAUUAGAUACCCUGGUAGUCCACGCCGUAAACGAUGUCGACUUGGAGGUUGUGCCCUUGAGGCGUGGCUUCCGGAGCUAACGCGUUAAGUCGACCGCCUGGGGAGUACGGCCGCAAGGUUAAAACUCAAAUGAAUUGACGGGGGCCCGCACAAGCGGUGGAGCAUGUGGUUUAAUUCGAUGCAACGCGAAGAACCUUACCUGGUCUUGACAUCCACRGAASUUUYCAGAGAUGAGAAUGUGCCUUCGGGAACYGUGAGACAGGUGCUGCAUGGCUGUCGUCAGCUCGUGUUGUGAAAUGUUGGGUUAAGUCCCGCAACGAGCGCAACCCUUAUCCUUUGUUGCCAGCGGUCCGGCCGGGAACUCAAAGGAGACUGCCAGUGAUAAACUGGAGGAAGGUGGGGAUGACGUCAAGUCAUCAUCGUCGUAGUCCGGAUUGGAGUCUGCAACUCGACUCCAUGAAGUCGGAAUCGCUAGUAAUCGUGGAUCAGAAUGCCACGGUGAAUACGUUCCCGGGCCUUGUACACACCGCCCGUCACACCAUGGGAGUGGGUUGCAAAAGAAGUAGGUAGCUUAACCUUCGGGAGGGCGCUUACCACUUUGUGAUUCAUGACUGGGGUGAAGUCGUAACAAGGUAACCGUAGGGGAACCUGCGGUUG